UUAAGCGACUAAGCGUACACGGUGGAUGCCCUGGCAGUCAGAGGCGAUGAAGGACGUGCUAAUCUGCGAUAAGCGUCGGUAAGGUGAUAUGAACCGUUAUAACCGGCGAUUUCCGAAUGGGGAAACCCAGUGUGAUUCGUCACACUAUCAUUAACUGAAUCCAUAGGUUAAUGAGGCGAACCGGGGGAACUGAAACAUCUAAGUACCCCGAGGAAAAGAAAUCAACCGAGAUUCCCCCAGUAGCGGCGAGCGAACGGGGAGGAGCCCAGAGCCUGAAUCAGUGUGUGUGUUAGUGGAAGCGUCUGGAAAGGCGCGCGAUACAGGGUGACAGCCCCGUACACAAAAAUGCACAUGCUGUGAGCUCGAUGAGUAGGGCGGGACACGUGGUAUCCUGUCUGAAUAUGGGGGGACCAUCCUCCAAGGCUAAAUACUCCUGACUGACCGAUAGUGAACCAGUACCGUGAGGGAAAGGCGAAAAGAACCCCGGCGAGGGGAGUGAAAAAGAACCUGAAACCGUGUACGUACAAGCAGUGGGAGCCUCUUUUAUGGGGUGACUGCGUACCUUUUGUAUAAUGGGUCAGCGACUUAUAUUCUGUAGCAAGGUUAACCGAAUAGGGGAGCCGAAGGGAAACCGAGUCUUAACUGGGCGUUAAGUUGCAGGGUAUAGACCCGAAACCCGGUGAUCUAGCCAUGGGCAGGUUGAAGGUUGGGUAACACUAACUGGAGGACCGAACCGACUAAUGUUGAAAAAUUAGCGGAUGACUUGUGGCUGGGGGUGAAAGGCCAAUCAAACCGGGAGAUAGCUGGUUCUCCCCGAAAGCUAUUUAGGUAGCGCCUCGUGAAUUCAUCUCCGGGGGUAGAGCACUGUUUCGGCAAGGGGGUCAUCCCGACUUACCAACCCGAUGCAAACUGCGAAUACCGGAGAAUGUUAUCACGGGAGACACACGGCGGGUGCUAACGUCCGUCGUGAAGAGGGAAACAACCCAGACCGCCAGCUAAGGUCCCAAAGUCAUGGUUAAGUGGGAAACGAUGUGGGAAGGCCCAGACAGCCAGGAUGUUGGCUUAGAAGCAGCCAUCAUUUAAAGAAAGCGUAAUAGCUCACUGGUCGAGUCGGCCUGCGCGGAAGAUGUAACGGGGCUAAACCAUGCACCGAAGCUGCGGCAGCGACACUAUGUGUUGUUGGGUAGGGGAGCGUUCUGUAAGCCUGUGAAGGUGUACUGUGAGGUAUGCUGGAGGUAUCAGAAGUGCGAAUGCUGACAUAAGUAACGAUAAAGCGGGUGAAAAGCCCGCUCGCCGGAAGACCAAGGGUUCCUGUCCAACGUUAAUCGGGGCAGGGUGAGUCGACCCCUAAGGCGAGGCCGAAAGGCGUAGUCGAUGGGAAACAGGUUAAUAUUCCUGUACUUGGUGUUACUGCGAAGGGGGGACGGAGAAGGCUAUGUUGGCCGGGCGACGGUUGUCCCGGUUUAAGCGUGUAGGCUGGUUUUCCAGGCAAAUCCGGAAAAUCAAGGCUGAGGCGUGAUGACGAGGCACUACGGUGCUGAAGCAACAAAUGCCCUGCUUCCAGGAAAAGCCUCUAAGCAUCAGGUAACAUCAAAUCGUACCCCAAACCGACACAGGUGGUCAGGUAGAGAAUACCAAGGCGCUUGAGAGAACUCGGGUGAAGGAACUAGGCAAAAUGGUGCCGUAACUUCGGGAGAAGGCACGCUGAUAUGUAGGUGAAGUCCCUCGCGGAUGGAGCUGAAAUCAGUCGAAGAUACCAGCUGGCUGCAACUGUUUAUUAAAAACACAGCACUGUGCAAACACGAAAGUGGACGUAUACGGUGUGACGCCUGCCCGGUGCCGGAAGGUUAAUUGAUGGGGUCAGCGCAAGCGAAGCUCUUGAUCGAAGCCCCGGUAAACGGCGGCCGUAACUAUAACGGUCCUAAGGUAGCGAAAUUCCUUGUCGGGUAAGUUCCGACCUGCACGAAUGGCGUAAUGAUGGCCAGGCUGUCUCCACCCGAGACUCAGUGAAAUUGAACUCGCUGUGAAGAUGCAGUGUACCCGCGGCAAGACGGAAAGACCCCGUGAACCUUUACUAUAGCUUGACACUGAACAUUGAGCCUUGAUGUGUAGGAUAGGUGGGAGGCUUUGAAGUGUGGACGCCAGUCUGCAUGGAGCCGACCUUGAAAUACCACCCUUUAAUGUUUGAUGUUCUAACGUUGACCCGUAAUCCGGGUUGCGGACAGUGUCUGGUGGGUAGUUUGACUGGGGCGGUCUCCUCCUAAAGAGUAACGGAGGAGCACGAAGGUUGGCUAAUCCUGGUCGGACAUCAGGAGGUUAGUGCAAUGGCAUAAGCCAGCUUGACUGCGAGCGUGACGGCGCGAGCAGGUGCGAAAGCAGGUCAUAGUGAUCCGGUGGUUCUGAAUGGAAGGGCCAUCGCUCAACGGAUAAAAGGUACUCCGGGGAUAACAGGCUGAUACCGCCCAAGAGUUCAUAUCGACGGCGGUGUUUGGCACCUCGAUGUCGGCUCAUCACAUCCUGGGGCUGAAGUAGGUCCCAAGGGUAUGGCUGUUCGCCAUUUAAAGUGGUACGCGAGCUGGGUUUAGAACGUCGUGAGACAGUUCGGUCCCUAUCUGCCGUGGGCGCUGGAGAAUUGAGGGGGGCUGCUCCUAGUACGAGAGGACCGGAGUGGACGCAUCACUGGUGUUCGGGUUGUCAUGCCAAUGGCACUGCCCGGUAGCUAAAUGCGGAAGAGAUAAGUGCUGAAAGCAUCUAAGCACGAAACUUGCCCCGAGAUGAGUUCUCCCUGACUCCUUGAGAGUCCUGAAGGAACGUUGAAGACGACGACGUUGAUAGGCCGGGUGUGUAAGCGCAGCGAUGCGUUGAGCUAACCGGUACUAAUGAACCGUGAGGCUUAACCU
rnacentral:rRNA from 1 species